GAUGAACGCUGGCGGCGUGCCUAAUACAUGCAAGUCGAGCGAAUGGAUUAAGAGCUUGCUCUUAUGAAGUUAGCGGCGGACGGGUGAGUAACACGUGGGUAACCUGCCCAUAAGACUGGGAUAACUCCGGGAAACCGGGGCUAAUACCGGAUAACAUUUUGAACCGCAUGGUUCGAAAUUGAAAGGUGGCUUCGGCUGUCACUUAUGGAUGGACCCGCGUCGCAUUAGCUAGUUGGUGAGGUAACGGCUCACCAAGGCAACGAUGCGUAGCCGACCUGAGAGGGUGAUCGGCCACACUGGGACUGAGACACGGCCCAGACUCCUACGGGAGGUAGCAGUAGGGAAUCUUCCGCAAUGGACGAAAGUCUGACGGAGCAACGCCGCGUGAGUGAUGAAGGCUUUCGGGUCGUAAAACUCUGUUGUUAGGGAAGAACAAGUGCUAGUUGAAUGAGCUGGCACCUUGACGGUACCUAACCAGAAAGCCACGGCUAACUACGUGCCAGCCGCCGCCGUAA
rnacentral:rRNA from 1 species